GAUGAACGCUGGCGGCGUGCCUAAUACAUGCAAGUCGAGCGAACGGACGAGAAGAUUGCUUCUCUGAUGUUAGCGGCGGACGGGUGAGUAAGACGUGGAUAACCAACUUAUAAGACUGGUAUAAAUUCGUGAAACCGGAGCUAAUACCGGAUAAUAUUUUGAACGGCAUGGUUCAAAAGUGAAAGACGGUCUUGCUGUCACUUAUAGAUGAAUCCGCGCUGCAUUAGCUAGUUGGUAAGGUAACGGCUUACCAAGGCAACGAUGCAUAGCCGACCUGAGAGGGUGAUCAGCCACACUGGAACUGAGACACGGUCCAGACUCCUACGGGAGGCAGCAGUAGGGAAUCUUCCGCAAUGGGCGCAAGCCUGACGGAGCAACGCCGCGUGAGUGAUGAAGGUCUUCGGAUCGUAAAACUCUGUUAUUAGGGAAGAAAAUCUGUGUAAGUAUCUGUGCACAUCUUGACGGUACCUAAUCAGAAAGCCACGGCUAACUACGUG
rnacentral:rRNA from 1 species